rnacentral:rRNA from 1 species
UACGUAGGGGGCAAGCGUUAUCCGGAUUUACUGGGUGUAAAGGGAGCGUAGACGGCUGUACAAGUCUGAAGUGAAAGCCCGUGGCUCAAACGCGGAACUGCUUUGGAAACUGUAAAGCUGGAGUACUGGAGAGGCAGGCGGAAUUCCUAGUGUAGCGGUGAAAUGCGUAGAUAUUAGGAGGAACACCAGUGGCGAAGGCGGCCUGCUGGACAGAAACUGACGUUGAGGCUCGAAAGCGUGGGGAGCAAACAGG